GCUGAGGGGAGGAAGCUGCGGAAGUGGACUGGGACUGGAGUUUGGGGUUCUACCCUAGGUUGGGGCGGAGGAAGCUGGAGGAUAGGGGCUGACGCCAGGAACGCUGCAGAGGCGGGUUGGGCGGGGGGCGCUGCCGCCCAAGGCCCGAGGCAGCGGCGCGGGAUCGGCCAAAGCACCGGCCGCCAGUUCGGCGGGUCUGGAGAGAGGGGACCUCAAGCAGCCAGUGGAGCAACCAGCCUGGGAGCCUUCGACGUAGGCGCUGUGGGCGAAGGAAAAGGCCUGGCCUGCUGCCUCUUCUCUUGCAGCAAAAUCCGCUGCUGUGAAGGAGCUGAAAAGAAGCAGACCUACAUCGUUUGCAGAUGAGCUGGCUGCCCGCAUCAAGGGGGAUGCCGUGGGCCGAGUGGACGAGGAGCCGACAACCUUACCCUCAGGAGAAGCAAAACUUCGGAAGACACUCAAGAGAAGAAGGAAAGGAGAACUCCUUCGGACGAUGAAGAGGAUAACUUAUUCGCACCCCCCAAGCUGACCGACGAGGACUUCUCGCCAUUUGGCUCUGGAGGUGGCCUGUUCAGUGGGGGCAAGGGGCUCUUUGAUGAUGAGGACGAGGAGAGUGACCUCUUCACGGAAGCCCCCCAGGAUCGGCAAGCUGGAGCCUCUGUUAAGGAGGAGUCUUCAUCAUCCAAACCUGGAAAGAAAAUCCUAGCAGGAGCUGUUUCUGUAUUUUUAGGAGACACGGAUGUGCUGCCUCCGUUCCAUCACUGAAGGAGCCACAGAAGCCUGAGCAGCCCACUCCAAGGAAAAGCCCCUAUGGUCCCCCUCCCACUGGCCUGUUUGAUGAUGAUGAUGGUGAUGAUGAUAACGACUUUUUCUCGACACCCCACAGCAAACCUUCC
rnacentral:lncRNA from 1 species